rnacentral:tRNA from 1 species
GCUGAAGUAGCUCAGAGGUAGAGCAACUGAUUCGUAAUCAGUAGGUCGGGGGUUCAACUCCCCCCUUCAGCC